rnacentral:rRNA from 1 species
GAUGAACGCUGGCGGCAUGCCUAACGCAUGCAAGUCGAUCGGUAAGGCUCUUCGGAGUACACGAGAGGCGGACGGCUGAGUAACGCGUAGGAACACACCCUGCAGUGAGGGAUAAGACACCGAAAGGUGUUCUAAUACCGCAUACGGUCUUCGGAUUAAAGCAUUUAUGCGCUGAAGGAGUGGCCUGCGUCAUAUUAGAUAGUUGGUGAGGUAAUGGCUCACCAAGUCGAUGAUGUGUAGCUGGUCUGAGAGGAUGAUCAGCCAGACUGGAACUGAGACACGGUCCAGACUCCUACGGGAGGCAGCAGUGAGGAAUAUUUCACAAUGAGCGAAAGCUUGAUGGAGCAAUGCCGCGUGCAGGAUGAAGGCCCUCGGGUUGUAAACUGCUUUUAUAAGAGAAGAUUAUGACGGUAACUUAUGAAUAAGGGACGGCUAACUACGUG